UACGUAGGUGGCAAGCGUUGUCCGGAUUUACUGGGCGUAAAGAGCGCGCAGGCGGUCGUUCAAGUCGCGUGUGAAAGCCCCCGGCUCAACUGGGGAGGGUCACGCGAUACUGAUCGACUCGAAGGCAGGAGAGGGUAGUGGAAUUCCAGGUGUAGCGGUGAAAUGCGUAGAUAUCUGGAGGAACACCGGUGGCGAAGGCGGCCUGCUGGGCAGUUGCUGACACUGAGGCGCGACAGCGUGGGGAGCAAACAGG
rnacentral:rRNA from 1 species